CCUACGGGAGGCAGCAGUAAGGAAUAUUGGACAAUGCUCGCAAGAGUGAUCCAGCCAUGCCGCGUGCAGGAAGAAUGCCCUAUGGGUAGUAAACUGCUUUUGAACCAGAGAAAAUCCCAGUACGUGUACUGGGCUGAUAGUAUAGCUAGAAUAAGCAUCGGCUAACUUCGUGCCAGCAGCCGCGGUAAGACGAAGGAUGCAAGCGUUAUCCGGAUUCAUUGGGUUUAAAGGGAGCGUAGGUGGACUGAUAAGUCAGUGGUGAAAUCUCCGAGCUUAACUCGGAAAUUGCCAUUGAUACUGUUGGUCUUGAGUACAGUUGCUGUGGGCGGAAUAUGACAUGUAGUGGUGAAAUACAUAGAGAUGUCAUAGAACACCGAUUGCGAAGGCAGCUCACAAAGCUGUAACUGACACUGAGGCUCGAAAGUGCGGGGAUCAAACAGGAUUAGAUACCCUGGUAGUCCGCACCGUAAACGAUGAUUACUCGCUGCUAGGGGGCAACCUUUAGUGGCUUAGCGAAAGCGAUAGUAAUCCACCUGGGGAGAGCGCGACGAGAAGUAAGUUAGAGUUAGAGGNGNGAGAGNGCGACGGCGACGAGAGGGAGGAGG
rnacentral:rRNA from 1 species